CAAUAGCGUAUAUUUAAGUUGUUGCAGUUAAAAAGCUCGUAGUUGGAUUUCGGAUGGGACUUGCCGGUCCGUCGUUUCGAUGUGCAUUGGCCAGUCCUAUCUUGUUGUCGGGGACUAGCUCCUGGGCUUCACUGUCCGGGACUAGGAGCUGACGAGGUUACUUUGAGUAAAUUAGAGUGUUCAAAGCAAGCCUACGCUCUGAAUACAUUAGCAUGGAAUAACACGAUAGGACUCUGGCUUAUCUUGUUGGUCUGUGAGACCAGAGUAAUGAUUAAGAGGGACAGUCGGGGGCAUUCGUAUUUCAUUGUCAGAGGUGAAAUUCUUGGAUUUAUGAAAGACGAACUUCUGCGAAAGCAUUUGUCAAGGAUGUUUUCAUUAA
rnacentral:rRNA from 1 species